rnacentral:rRNA from 1 species
AGAGUUUGAUCCUGGCUCAGAACGAACGCUUGCGGCGCGCCUAAUACAUGCAAGUCGAACGAGGUAGCAAUACCUAGUGGCGCACGGGUGAGUAACGCGUGGAUAAUCUGCCCUUCAGUGGGGAAUAACUAUCCGAAAGGAUAGCUAAUACCGCAUGAGACCACAGUUUCUACGGAAACAGAGGUUAAAGAUUUAUCGCUGAAGGAUGAGUCUGCGUGGGAUUAGCUAGUUGGUGGGGUAAUGGCCUACCAAGGCUACGAUCUCUAACUGGUCUGAGAGGAUGACCAGUCUCACUGGAACUGACACACGGUCCAGACUCCUACGGGAGGCAGCAGUAGGGAAUAU